rnacentral:rRNA from 1 species
GUAGGCAGCGAGCGUUGUUCGGAGUUACUGGGCGUAAAGGGUGUGUAGGCGGUCCUCUAAGUUUGGUGUGAAAUCUCCCGGCUUAACCGGGAGGGUGCGCCGAAAACUGGAGGGCUAGAGUGCGGGAUGGGAGAGUAGAAUUCCUGGUGUAGCGGUGAAAUGCGUAGAUAUCAGGAGGAAUACCGGUGGUGUAGACGGCUCUCUGGACCGCGACUGACGCUGAGACACGAAAGCGUGGGUAGCAAACAGGAUUAGAUACCCUGGUAGUCCACGCCCUAAACGAUGCAUAUUUGGUGUAGGUCAUUCAGUUGAUCUGUGCCGGAGCUAACGCGUUAAAUAUGCCGCCUGGGGAGUACAGUCGCAAGGCUG